rnacentral:sRNA from 1 species
ACUCAGAAGCUUGGACCGCAUCCUAGCCGCCGACUCACACAAGGCAGGUGGGUGAGGAAAUCCAGAGUUGCCAUGGAGAAAAUUUCAGUGUCAGCAUUCUUGCUCCUUGUGGCCCUCUCCUACACUCUGGCCAGAGAUACCACAGUCAAACCUGCAGCCAAAAAGGACACAAAGGACUCUCGACCCAAACUGCCCCAGACCCUCUCCAGAGGUAGGAGUCAGCUUCUUGUUGGCUUCCAACUGCUACUUAAUUGGAAAAGAUUUCCUCUCUCUUGGUGCUUAAACCUGGUUCUAACCUGGCGCCAGGUUAUUUUUGGUUGUGUUCCUUCUAGAUUUAUCAUUGUUUAUAAUUAUUUCUACUUUCUCCAAGGGUUUUUCUUCUUUAGUAUCACGUCUAUUAACCCAGUCUUUACCAUUGCUUUUCAACAGCUUUGGGUCUGAAUUUAUACAAGCUUCAAAUAUAAUGAUUCAUUUCAUUCUAGGUUGGGGUGACCAACUCAUCUGGACUCAGACAUAUGAAGAAGCUCUAUAUAAAUCCAAGACAAGGUAAAGAUCAGGAUUACUCAGAGCUCCCUCAAAGCU